rnacentral:rRNA from 1 species
AAUAGAUACCCCGGUAGUCCACGCCGUAAACGAUGUCGACUUGGAGGUUGUUCCCUUGAGGAGUGGCUUCCGGAGCUAACGCGUUAAGUCGACCGCCUGGGGAGUACGGCCGCAAGGUUAAAACUCAAAUGAAUUGACGGGGGCCCGCACAAGCGGUGGAGCAUGUGGUUUAAUUCGAUGCAACGCGAAGAACCUUACCUACUCUUGACAUCCACGGAACUUUUCAGAGAUGAAUUGGUGCCUUCGGGAACCGUGAGACAGGUGCUGCAUGGCUGUCGUCAGCUCGUGUUGUGAAAUGUUGGGUUAAGUCCCGCAACGAGCGCAACCCUUAUCCUUUGUUGCCAGCGGUUAGGCCGGGAACUCAAAGGAGACUGCCAGUGAUAAACUGGAGGAAGGUGGGGAUGACGUCAAGUCAUCAUGGCCCUUACGAGUAGGGCUACACACGUGCUACAAUGGCGCAUACAAAGAGAAGCGACCUCGCGAGAGCAAGCGGACCUCAUAAAGUGCGUCGUAGUCCGGAUUGGAGUCUGCAACUCGACU